CCUUGUUUUGCCUAAUCUAGUUCAGUUGAAAUAGAGUGGUGAAAAAAAACAGAGUUUAACAUUUUUGCUAAUGGGGAAAAAUAUAAAACACUUAUGGCUAUUUUAAAAACCUAUUGAAUACCAAAGUGCCAAUUUAUUUAGUUAAAUGUUUUCAGUAUCCAACAUGAGUAUCAACAUAACUCGACAUAACAACACGCUGCUUCAAUUAAGGAAAUAAACCGCUUUGUGCUGU